rnacentral:lncRNA from 1 species
UUUUAGUUAUGUCUCCUUACCAAUAGUUAAAGAAACUCUAGUCUAGCACUAGAGGGAAUCAACCAACUAAAAGAGAUUAAGAAGUAAUAAGAAUUACAAACCGAUUUGCACAAAUUCCUACAAAUUACACAUACUAAGAGGGAGAGAUAGAUUAAUGUCCAAGGUGACAAGGUCCAAUUGAAACAGUAAUUAAAAUACAUUCCCAAGGUUCAAACAAUUUGAGUUUAGCUCCUUAUCUCAUAGCUCAAUUAUCGUUUAAGGCAUAAGUCCAUAGUCAUCCUUUUUUCUAACUACUUAAUCACAUUAAAUAAUCAUAUGGAAUGCAACAUAAACAAUUAGAUUUAGUGCAUAUGGGCAUAAUAAUAUUAUGAGUUUAAACAACCAAUAAAAUUAAAAUCAAAUAUUUUAACUUUUUAUAUGGAUGGGGCCUAUUAUGCAAAUAUGAAAAGUUAGGGGUCAAACCGUAAAUACUUGAAAGUAAAUAUCAACUUUUCAAAGAUUACAAAAUAGCCCCACAAGUGGAUAAAUCCACUAGGGAGGCCGGCCACUUAAUGGGGAUGGGAGGUUUCUUACAUAACAUGCAUUAAUUCAACAUUAUGAAGAAAAAAUUAAAUUUUGCUUGUCACUUGGUUUUGCUUUAAGGACUUUAAGAAAAGGGUGAUGGAAAUUCACCUAGUCAAGUUUAGGAUUGAAUUAAAUUUUUGGGAAGGCUGUGGAUGGUAAGUGCAUCAUCCAAAACCUCAAAACAAUGUAUGAACACAAAACAAAACCAUUUUCACCAAAACCAAAACCAUGAACACCAAGAACAAAACCAUGAACACAAUUUCAAGAUUUGUACAUUCUUGAUGAUUUUGCAAACCCAAAAACAAAAGUGACAAGAACUCUUUUUUUCUAGCUUUAAAAGGAUGUGAGAGUGGUUUACCAUAAAACACAAACACAACCCAAAACCACCCCCAAAACCGUGCCCUCCCAUUUGGAAUAAAAAACCCCAAAUUUUAGUUCUAAACUCAAUCUUCAUUCAUGCAUCCAAAACAUUUUUGCAUGCAUAUCUUUUCAACUAUUGAUUUACAUUUUUCAACCAUUGAAAAACAAAAGAUAAACAUACUUUGAAUGAAGCAAUAAUAUGUCAUACAUAAAAUUAAAACACAUAUGCAUAAAAUCCAAAAUGACAUAUCUUACAUAAACCUUUGGCUCUGAUACCACUUGAAGGGAAAUUUAUGAGAUUUCAUGUGGGAUUUCUAGUGACUAGCAUGCAUAUACAAUUCAAGAUUUAUAUACGAAAGCAACGGAAGCAUGUUAUCAAAUAAUAUCAAAGCUCUAGUCAUGCAAAUCCCCUUCAAGAUGCAUAGGUUUAUGUAAGAUGCAUCCAAAACAAAUUUAUAUAUAAGAACAAAGUUUAGGAGUAGUUUUAUGCCUCUUGAUCUAGAUCUUAGACCAAGGAUGGACCACCUCCAAGACCUUUGCUCCUUGAACUCCUUGAGCCUAGCC